CGGAAAUUCACUGAUACCAGAUGGUUCAAGAUGGCAGCCAAAAGUUGGCGACAUCGGAACAAUCAAAUGUGUUUCUUGUAGAUGCAAGAAAGGAAAAAUCAAAUGCAGGCGCCAGAAAUGCCCUAAACCACCGUGCAAGAAGAAAUAUAGAAUUACGCCCAAGGAUCAAUGCUGCCCUAUAUGUAACCCUGAUGGCGAAACUGACAAGACGACUAGCGGUAAAUCUGGGAAAGCGAAGAAACGGAAGAAUCGGAAGGGGAAGAAAAUCAAGGAUCAGUUAAGAGAAAGGGUUAACAUAUUUAGUAAUACUAGCCAAUGAGUGAACGGGAUAAAUAUGACGUCAUUGAUGAAGAGCCAAUCCGAAGAAGUAUACCGUGUUGAGUGUGCCAGUCGUGUUUUGUGUGUGUAUUCACCUCGUUUCCAAGAGACUCGACCGAUAUAUCUGGAAUGUGAGAUAUACAUCAAGCUUGUUGAACAGACUCUUGAUUGAAACUAUAGGCGUGUGGUGUACUGAAUUCGAAUAAGAGUUGCAUGCGUCGGAUACAACGGACCGAUAUGACAUUACAAUGCAUAGAUAACAUUUUCCCGUUUGUCCGAAUUGGCGCAUUUUUCCUAUCGAUUGUUAUUAUAAAUAUUGCAUUAAACUUUUGCCCAGAAUCCUUUGCUUGAUGGGAUGAUUUAUACGGAUUGUUAACUGUUGUAUAGUAAGACGCAUCCGUCAGGCAGAUAGAUGUCCAGUCUUCUAUUUAUUUAUUCUAUAUCAGCAGACGAUACGCUUGAUCAUUGAUACGGAUGAUAGUGACCAUGUAAGGUAUUGGCUUGAAAGAAUU